GUGUAGCUCAACGGUAGAGCGUUCGACUGUUAAUCGAAUGGUUGUGAGUUCAAGUCUCGCUG
rnacentral:tRNA from 1 species